rnacentral:rRNA from 1 species
UACGUAGGGGGCAAGCGUUGUCCGGAUUCAUUGGGCGUAAAGCGAGUGUAGGUGGUUGUCCAAGUUGGAUGUGAAAGCCUUGAGCUCAACUCAAGAAAUGCAUUCAGGACUGGGCGGCUAGAGGACCGGAGAGGAUAGUGGAAUUCCCAGUGUAGUGGUGAAAUACGUAGAGAUUGGGAAGAACACCAGUGGCGAAGGCGGCUAUCUGGACGGUUUCUGACACUAAGACUCGAAAGCGUGGGGAGCAAACAGG